rnacentral:rRNA from 1 species
CAAUAGCGUAUAUUAAAGUUGUUGCAGUUAAAAAGCUCGUAGUUGAACUUUGGGUCUGGCUGGGCGGUCUUGACAAUGUCACGCACUGCUCUGGUCGGAUCUUUCCUUCUGGCUAGCCAUUGUGCUAUUAAUUUAGUGCGUUGGGGAUCCAGGACUUUUACUUUGAAAAAAUUAGAGUGUUUAAAGCAGGCUUACGCUUGAAUACAUUAGCAUGGAAUAAUAAAAUAGGACUUUGGUUUUAUUUUGUUGGUUUUCAGGACCAAGGUAAUGAUUAAUAGGGUCAGUUGGGGGCAUUAGUAUUUUAGCGUCAGAGGUGAAAUUCUUGGAUUGCUAAAAGACUAACUUCUGCGAAAGCAUUUGCCAAGGAUGUUUUCAUUAA